rnacentral:rRNA from 1 species
AUUGAACGCUGGCGGUAUGCCUUACACAUGCAAGUCGAACGGUAGAGGGGCAACCCUUGAGAGUGGCGAACGGGUGAGUAAUACAUCGGAACGUGCCCAGUCGUGGGGGAUAACGUAGCGAAAGCUACGCUAAUACCGCAUACGACCUGAGGGUGAAAGCGGGGGAUCGCAAGACCUCGCCCGAUUGGAGCGGCCGGUGGCAGAUUAGGUAGUUGGUGGGGUAAAGGCCUACCAAGCCUGCGAUCUGUAGCUGGUCUGAGAGGACGACCAGCCACACUGGGACUGAGACACGGCCCAGACUCCUACGGGAGGCAGCAGUGGGGAAUUUUGGACAAUGGGCGAAAGCCUGAUCCAGCCAUACCGCGUGCGGGAAGAAGGCCUUCGGGUUGUAAACCGCUUUUGUCAGGGAAGAAAUCUUCUGGGUUAAUACCUCGGGAGGAUGACGGUACCUGAAGAAUAAGCACCGGCUAACUACGUGCCAGCCGCCGCCGUAACAC